UUGGAUUGUGAUACCUAUAAGGAAAGAUUUAUUAUACUGUUCAAGCAUUUGGCCAGUGUUUAUUUUGGGGUGUAAACCUCAAAAUUCCUUAGACUUAUAAUUGUUGAAAAUUUCACCAUUGGGAUAUUUCAUACUUGGAAAAUUUCUUACUGAUAGUCUAUUGGAAUGGGAACUCCAUUGGCAUGGGAGGUUCCUUCUCUUCCCUUCUUAAGAUUACUUUAGGACAGAAACCCUUUGCUGAACAAUGGAAAGGACUUUGACAGAAACCCUUUGCUGAACAAUGGAAAGGACUUUGACCUAUGCUUAAGCAUAGAACAGGAAUUUCUUUGAGUCUUGAUUGAUUUUAGAAUUGAUACAAUGGAGAUACUUGGAAUAAAUCUCCACCCUAUUCAGUCCUAAUAGGAUUGAGUAAGGGCUGCAGCCUAGAUCAAAAUUUAAUUAUUCCAAUCUCUACCAUACUCAAGUUAACAGGAUUUAGAAAGGGCUGUAACAAAAGAGUAAAGAUUUAAUCAUUUGAAAAAUAUGACCUUCAACAGACAUGUGCAAAAGCCAGAAACCUCUGGGCGGUCCUGGGUUAAGCGGACUGAGGGGAGGCAACUUGGAUGGUUUCCUUAAAGAUAGGAGGGUCUGGAGACUCGGGGAACAGGAUUGAGUUUUUGGUCGGUGUGGUUCCUGGGCUCUGAGGAAGCUUGCUCUGAAGGAAGCUGAAGGUGGGGGCCUCUGAGACUGUUUCUCCAUUUUGGACACGUGAGUGAAAGGGACUGAUCUCUUUUUUCUUUGUCCCAGCUAUCUAAGGGCUUGGGCCUUUUGGCCCAGCCUAAACAGAAGGGGUAUUUAAGCCCUAUUCCCUUCUCUCCCCUUUCUCUCUCUCUAUAUAUCUCUAAUUCCUUUCUUGCUCCUAUUGUAAUUAAACUCCAAAAAAGGCUGACGGCUGACUUGAGUUUUUCAUUUAGGAAUUACAUAGCUGAUUCCUUGGCGACCUUAAAUUAAUAUAUAUCAGUCCUUUAAAGUGAUUCCCUUGUAACAGGGGC
rnacentral:lncRNA from 1 species